rnacentral:rRNA from 1 species
ACAAGCCAAAUUAAGGUGAAACCGCAAAAGGCUCAUUAAAUCAGUUAUGGUUCCUUAGAUCGUACCAACAAUUACUUGGAUAACUGUGGUAAUUCUAGAGCUAAUACAUGCAAACAGAGCCCCGACCGGAGACGGAAGGAGUGCUUUUAUUAGAUCAAAACCAAUCGGUGGCGGGUUCGCUCGUCAUCGUACAACUUGGUGACUCUGAAUAACUUUACGCUGAUCGCACGGUCAUCGCACCGGCGACGCAUCUUUCAAAUGUCUGCCUUAUCAACUGUCGAUGGUAGGUUCUGCGCCUACCAUGGUUGUAACGGGUAACGGGGAAUCAGGGUUCGAUUCCGGAGAGGGAGCCUGAGAAACGGCUACCACAUCCAAGGAAGGCAGCAGGCGCGCAAAUUACCCACUCCCGGCACGGGGAGGUAGUGACGAAAAAUAACGAUACGGGACUCAUCCGAGGCCCCGUAAUCGGAAUGAGUACACUCUAAACCCUUUAACGAGGAUCAAUUGGAGGGCAAGUCUGGUGCC